CAUUCUAUGGUGUUCACUAAAGUUCUCAUACCCCUCUAAGAAAUGCUCAAGUGCAUAGCUGAAGAGCUCACCCCUGAAAUUCUGGGAGGUUCCAAGCAUUCCUGAGGCAGAUGCGGCCUGCUCCGGCUGCCUCAGGCUCCUCUUGAUGUCUUUCCCAUCAUGAUGGACGCCUCUGUGGUGGAAAGUCUGCACGGCGUGGGGGUGCACUCAUUUACUCAGUCAGAAGCAAGCAACGCUGUGUACCUGGCAUUGACUCUGCAGUGACAGCCCUAGAACUCACUUCUUCCUCAGGAAGAAAGCAUCAAGGACAGCCCUCCCCCCGCCCCCCCCCCCCCCCCCGCAUGUGGCUUCCUGUAUCUGCCAUGAAGCACCGGAGACAUUUAAAAGGAGGAAAGGCUUUAUUUUAGUCAUGGUCCCAGAACUUUCAUCCCUGAGCUGCUUGACCGGUUGCCUCUGUGGUGGGUUCAAAUGCCAUGGCGGGAGUAUGUAGUGGAGCAGAGCUGUUCAUGCUACUCACGGAGGCCAGGGGAGAAAAGGAAGGGGGUGGGAAGUGGGCCCCAAUAUCUGCCUAAAGACCUGUACCCAAUGAUAUAGUUCUAUUACUUCCAGAUGCUGCCAUGUUCCCGAGUUCCCCCAUAGCGACACUGUGUAGGUCCCAGGGACUUAAAGUCACCAGGCUUGGCGUGAGGUGCUUUUGCUCUCUGAUCACCUCUCUCCAGCGUGAACAUUAUCUAUUAGGGUAUGGGAAGGAAUGAAAAUAAAUAUUUAUGCUAACUAUACCAUCCUUACCUAAGCCUUUGCUAAAAAUACUAAAUAAUCCACAUUUUCUCCCACCAUAAAAAGAUUACCUUUCUCAUCUACUACAUUUUUAUAUUCACUGGGCUGUAGUUUGGAAUUCUUUGUCUAAAAGUCUAACUUGUCAAGGUCAUGUUUAUUGUAUUAUAACACCUUUCCC
rnacentral:lncRNA from 1 species